ACGGGUGAUGAUAGCACGUUGAAUACUCCAGAGUUCUCAUGGAUCACUGAAGUUAAGUAACGGAGAGCGUGGUUGGUAUCCGGACGGGUGGCCGUUUGGGUAACCGUGUGCUGCUUUUC
rnacentral:rRNA from 1 species